GAUGAAGAACGCAGCGAAAUGCGAUAAGUAAUGUGAAUUGCAGAAUUCAGUGAAUCAUCGAAUCUUUGAACGCAUCUUGCGCUCCUUGGUAUUCCUUGGAGCAUGCCUGUUUGAGUAUCAUGAGCAAAUCUCAAAGUCAAUUCCUUUUGUUGAUUCAAUUGGUUUUGCUUUGGACUUGGAGGCCUUGCAGAUUUCACAGUCUGCUCCUCUUAAAUGCAUUAGCUGGAUCUCAGUAAUUAUGCUUGGUUCCACUCGGCGUGAUAAGUAUCACUCGCUGAGGACACUGUUAAAAAGGUGGCCAGGAAAAUACUGAUUGAACCGCUUCUAACGGUCUAUUAAGUUAGACAAUUACCCUUAAGUUUGAUCUCAAAUCAGGUAGGACUACCCGCUGAACUUAAGCAUAUCAUAAGCGGAGGA
rnacentral:misc_RNA from 1 species